UUCAUGUCGAACAAUUUGGAACACGUUUUCCUAAAGACAAUCGUCUAUAUCGCCCAUAAAAAUAUAGGCUUUAUUGAUUCUCUCUCCCUCUCUCUUGAAAUCCUAGAAUAUUUGCAUUGCCGUCUAUCCUUCAGGGCGAUAACCAUGGUGCGUCUUAUUAGAGAUGAGCCAUUAUUAGUUUCAGGAAUGCCACUGAAGCAAGAAUCUAUCAAUGCGAGAGGGGUUUAUUAUGGCGGACAUGAUCUACUUUGGAGGCCUUAUAUUGCGGACUAGGGGAUGGACUGUGCAGCAUUGGAAAAGUUUGGUUAUCCUUUUGUUCUGCUGCCCGUGUUGAGUACAAGUGUACAGGAGUUAUCGAGCUUGUGUCACCCACUGCGCAUGCGCGGUUGAUCGCUAACCCUAUUCGUUGCAUGUACUGUGUAUUGUGCAUAUGCAAGUGAUCCUGUGUGCUGCUCUAUCUCAAUAUUAUACAGUGAUUGGGCCUAUGUACUGCACUUUUUUGAGAAUAUACAGGUUCUGUGAAAACGCUGGGGUGUGGAUAUUUUGUGCCAUAGGCUGCAUGUGGAGGCAAAGUUAUUAUGUUUAAACAAAUACUUACGUUCUCUUCUGCAGCAACUUGAUUAUCGAGCGAUGGAUAAUGAGAUAGAUGAACCGGUGUUGUAUAUUGGGAAGCCUAAUCAAAUAUUGGUCAGAAGGAGCAAGCGUUGCGAACAAAGCACAUUCUCCGGUGAGAGUUCUAUGGCGUCUUCAAGGAAUCGAGGAAGCAACGUGUGAAGGUGAGGAGGAAACGCUGAAAAAGUAUGCUGAGUUAUUUGAGUAAUGAAUCAGGCCCGUCAAAUUUUGAGGAAGAAAUUUCUUUAUCGGGGGUAGAAUUGCAAUAUCUUAACACGCCAGCGUUCAUUCGAGGAGUUGUGUAGUUGCAAUAAUAGGGUGUCCAAAUAUACGAUUGAACAGGACACUCAAUAAGUUUGGUCGAUAUGGGCCUAAAUUGAUCUGUUCGACAAUUGCGUGAGCGACCCGGAUAUCUUACGUGAUCGUACAAAGGUCAAGUAACAAGAAACUGCUACAAUUGGGGCUCCUAAAGAAGAAGAUUGAGAAUUUUUUGUAGACCCAAAAACCAAAUGGGGUAGCAUGAAUUCUAAUUGGACCUCUUGAUCAUAGUGGAGGAGAAAGCGGACUACUUUGUGUUUUAGUUGGUCUAAACUAACGUGGAUUUAACUAUUUUAGGUGAAUAUCUAUUGAAUGGAAUUGAUUUUU